rnacentral:lncRNA from 1 species
CUGCGGCCCUGGCCUGGCCUCGACCCGGCAGUGCCUGUGCCCCCUGCGCCCCCCAGAGCCCUAGUCCUGUGCACCACUCACUCUCCGUUGGUGAACAGCUCGGGUUGUAUUCCGGAACCGAAGCUGCUCAUUCAUCACACUGCUGCCACGACGCGUCUAUGAGCUUCCAGCAGUUCAGAGGGUAACCUUUAAUCUGUGUAGUUGGGUUUAGUAAGGUUUGAUGAUCUGCUGGUAUGUUAGCUUGCUUGGGCUGCCCUAACAAACUACCACUGGCCGCGGGGCUUGAACGAUAUAGAAAUUAAUCUGCUCACAGCAUGUUGUUUUCUUCUGAGGCCUCUCCUCUUUUUUUCUUUUUUUUGUACCAGGGAUCGAACUCAGGACCUUGAGCUUGUGAAGCAGGCAGCAGAACCACUGAGCUAAAUCCCCAGCCCCCUUUCCUCUUGGCUUAUGUGUCCCCUGUCUUCCCUUCAUUCCUGAUGUGGUCUUCUAAUCUCUUAUGAGACUGUCCUAAGGUCGUUUUUUAUUUAUUUUUUGGGGGGUUACCAGGGAUUGCAGGGGUCCUUGCACUUGCAAGGCAGGCCACUGAACCGCUGAGCUAAAUCCCCAGCCCCCUUAAUUGCUUUUUAAAAGGCAAGUCCAAGUACAGUACUGUUCUGAGGUACAGAAGUAGGAGUUAGGAUCUCAACCUGAAAGUUUGGGAGGACACAAGUCAGCCUAUGGGCUAUGACAGCUCCUAAGAUACUUUUCCAGCAUGAUUUCCCAUGCUGCACAUCUGCUCGUGC